CUUUUCUCAUAAUGUUCCUCAAAGUAGGAAAAUGUUAUAUACCUAAUAUAUUUCAGUGGAAGUUAGUGUUUAUUUUUCUGUAGAUUGUAAAAGUAAACCUUAAUGUAGUCAACAUUUGGAUUUGGCCAGAGAAUAAGUGGUAAUACGUGUAACUCAAAAUGUAUUUUGUUACCUCAAUUAUGGGACACCUUCCAUAUAACAUACUGUUUCUAUCUGGAUACAUACUAUCAAUGGCUGUGCCAUAGCAUUUUUUUUUUACCCACCUGCAUAUACUGAUGGUUAAACUCUGCAGAUACUCACUCCAUUCUUAACAAUAUCAUCAUCAAUAAGGCAAAAUAGACACAUAAAAAAUUAACUUUAAAACCAUGAACAGGGCAUAAAGAAAUGGCUCUGAGUAUAUGGAAGAAAAGGGAGAAAUAACAUGUUUCUUACAAAGGGAAACUUAGAUAAGCCUUCACAGAAGUGCACCUGUUUGUAUAGGAGUUUGAAGGAAGAAACAAAUGUACUUGAUGUUCAACAGAAAAAGGAGAGUGUAGAAAGAAGAAACAACCAAGAACAAUAGCUGAUAAAAGACUACAGCAUAUUCAGUAGAACUUAGAAUGCUCUGAUGCAACCCAUGUGGUUAUAGAGAAAAGUGGGAGAGGAGGAUAAUGGUUAAGAAGAUAUACUUGAAACAGAUGAUAAAAGGACUUAAAUGCUAUGCUGGAGAGCCUGGAUUUUAUUCUGCAAGCAUGGGGGAUCAAUAUAGAUUUUAAUUAGGGAUACAACACAAUGAAUUUUCUCAUUGGUAGUCAUGUGGAAGAGAGAGCCCUGGUUUUCAAAUCAAUUCUUCCUUCAGACAGUGCACUUGGGAUCAAAAAUUUAGCUUUCUGUUUGAAGAAAACUGGACUCAAUAUGAAUAAAUAUAUUUGUUCUGUGAGUAACUUUUUUCUAUUGUUUACAAAUACAUUUAAUAGGUUUUAUUCUUCUUCAUUAAACUUAUAAUUUUUCAGUCUCUUUGGAAGUCAGUGUGGCAGUUCCUUAGAAGACAAAACAUACCCUUACCAUACAACCCAGCACUUGUACUUCAUGGUCUGUGCCCAAAGGAAUUGAGAAGCUAAAACACACAAAAUUAAAGCAUACAAAAACCUGCAUAUGUAUCUACAUAGAAGUUUGUUAAUCAUUGCCAAAACUUAGAAGCAACCAAAAGGUCUUUCAGGGGGUGACUGGAUGAAUGAACUGUGGGAUAUCAGGACAACGGAAGACUAGUCAGUGUCGAAAACAAAUGAGCACUCAAGCCAUGAAAAGACAUGGAGAACACUUAACUACAUGUUACUAAGUCAAAGAAGCCAAUCUGGAGUGACUACAAAUUGUGUGAUUCCAACUCUAUGACACUCUGGAAAGGACAAAACUCUAAAGAUCAUGAAAAGAUUAGUGUCGCCAGGUGCCAGGAGGAGAGAUGAAUAGGCAGAGUACAGACAAUCUGUAGGGUGCUAAAGCCAUUCAGAAUGAUACAACGAUGGAUGUAUGUUAUUUUCAUUUGCCAAAAUCCAUGUACUAGACAACACUAAGAGUGAAUCCUAAUGAAAACUAUGGCCUUUGGAUGAUAAUAAUGUGUCGGUGUAGGCUCAUCAAUAAUAACAAAUGUAACAAUCUGGUGAGGGAUAUUGAUAAUGGAGAAGGCUAUGGAGGUAUGAGGACAGGGAGUAUAUGGGAACCUCUUAUACUUUCUGUCCAUUUUGCUGUAAACCUAAACUGCUGUAAAAAUCACGUUUACUAAUUAAAAGAAAUGAUAUGGAAGGUGCAAAAAGAGAUUCUCC
rnacentral:lncRNA from 1 species